ensembl:lincRNA Gm28181 predicted gene 28181
CAGCAGGAGCAGAGGAAGCCAAGCACUUCAUCUAAUUUAAUUUUCUCUUGCCUUUUUAAUAUACGUUACAUCAUAAAGUUGGAUGUAUCCGCUUAAAUAACAGUUGCAAGACUGCUGGUGAAUGAUGUGGAAAGACAUUUUAAACGGAAGGGCCAGCUAGAACACUGUCAUCCCAUGUGGAGAUGUCGAUGUAGAUCAGACAGACUUCCUUCCUAUUGAGGAUAAUGGCUUCCAAUCCAGAAUUUUGAUAAGCGGAGAAAGAGGAGCUGAGAGAGGCACACCAGCUUUUUAACUUCCUGGACUUUAACAGGCACACAUGGCUUCUAUUAUAGAUCACUGGCUUCCCCCACCCAAAGGGAGGCUCAGGGAAGAAGGAGUUAUGACGUCAUCGCUUGUUCAUUAUCCAUCUCAGACCACUGACAACUCCCCAAGUACACCCCGCUGCAGUCAGACUCUGUUCCUUCGCCCGUUUGGCUCCUGCCUGGAAUGUUCCAUUCUCUGCUUUGCCUUCAAGGACUGAGACUCAAAUCUCCUUACUUGAAACCAGCUCCUCCUCUCCGAAAGCACAGCAUUUUGCUUGCGUGGUGCAGAGGAGUGAUCAUUGUGUUCAUCUCUGCCAGAAAACUGUGGUCUCUGAGAGGUCACAUACCACAUACACUAUGAAAGAAACAUUUAAGGAUCUGAAAA